AUGAACGCUAGCGGCAGGCUUAACACAUGCAAGUCGAGGGGCAACACGGGUAGCAAUACCUGGUGGCGACCGGCGCAAGGGUGCGUAACGCGUGAGCAACAUACCCUGUACAGGGGGAUAAUCCAGGGAAACUUGGUCUAAUAUCCCAUAGGAUUUACAGAUGUCAUCAUCUAUAAAUUAAAGCUUCGGUGGUAUAGGAUUGGCUCGCGUGACAUUAGCUAGAUGGUGGGUAACGGCCUACCAUGGCCAUGAUGUCUAGGGGUUCUGAGAGGAAGACCCCCCACACUGGGACUGAGACACGGCCCAGACUCCUACGGGAGGCAGCAGUGAGGAAUAUUGGACAAUGGAUGGAAAUCUGAUCCAGCCAUGCCGCGUGCAGGAAGACGGCCCUAUGGGUUGUAAACUGCUUUUAUAUGGGAGCAAUAAGGUCUACGCGUAGACCGAUGAGAGUACCAUAUGAAUAAGCAUCGGCUAACUCCGUG
rnacentral:rRNA from 1 species